CCUAAGGUAGCGAAAUUCCUUGUCGGGUAAGUUCCGACCCGCACGAAUGGAGUAACGAGAUGGACGCUGUCUCGAGAGGGAUCCCGGCGAAAUUGCAUUAUGAGUGAAGAUGCUCAUUAGCCGCAGCUAGACGGAAAGACCCCGUGGAGCUUUACUGUAGCUUGAUGUUGAAUUUUGGUCAGUCCUGUACAGGAUACGAGGGAGGCUUUGAUGGUUGCACGCCAGUGUUGCCGGAGCCAUCGUUGGGAUACCUCGCUGGUCUGUCUAGGAUUCUAACCCGUGAUGUUAUCCAUUACGGGGACAGCGUCUGGUAGGCAGUUUGACUGGGGCGGUUGCCUCCCAAAGAGUAACGGAGGCGUUCAAAGGUCACCUCAGCCUGGUCGGGAAUCAGGCGAAGAGUGCAAGGGCAUAAGGUGGCUUGACUGCGAGACGUACAUGUCGAGCAGAGUGGAAACACGGACCUAGUGAUCCGGCGGUACCGAAUGGAAGGGCCGUCGCUUAUCGGAUAAAAGCUACCCCGGGGAUAACAGGCUUAUCGCGCCCAAGAGCUCAUAUCGACGGCGCGGUUUGGCACCUCGAUGUCGGCUCAUCGCAUCCUGGGGCUGAAGUUGGUCCCAAGGGUUGGGCUGUUCGCCCAUUAAAGCGGUACGUGAGCUGGGUUCAGAACGUCGUGAGACAGUUCGGUCCCUAUCUGCUGUGGCCGUUGGAAGAUUGAGAAGCGCUGACCCUAGUACGAGAGGACCGGGUUGGACGAACCUCUUGUGAACCAGUUGUUCUGCCAAGAGCAAAGCUGGGUAGCUAUGUUCGGAUGAGAUAAACGCUGAAAGCAUCUAAGCGUGAAACUCACUUCAAGAUGAGUCUUCCCGUCACGUAAGUGACUAAGACCCGUCGUAGACUACGACGUUGAUAGGUUGGAUGUGUAAGUGCAGCAAUGUAUUUAGCAAACCAGCACUAAUCGGUCGAGUGGCUUCAUUAA
rnacentral:rRNA from 1 species